UCGAAUACAGAAGCUGUUGCUGGCUCUCUUUGGAGUGCAUGUGCACGCUUGUUUUUCUAUUUCUCCAACUGUGCACUGAUGGUAGACCUUGGUCUAUGCCUUCACAACCUGUAAUGAAUUUGAUAUCUGGGGAAUAAUAUUAUA
rnacentral:misc_RNA from 1 species